rnacentral:lncRNA from 1 species
UAAUGAAAUGAUAAAUUUUGGAACUCACCUUUGUGGCUUAAAAACAGCCAUCUGAAUGAAAUAAAGUCCUUCCUAGUCUUUAGGAACUGGUCCACAUCAUAACCCUGUGCCACUUUUCACUACAGGACAUUAUUCCUGGAAUCAUGCACUGGAAGAGGUUCCAGUCCCUGGAGCUCUCAGCCCUGCCCGACCCUUCUAAGAUAGAGAUCACCCACAGCUGUGACUCCUAUAACCCAGUCAUGCUUCCUGUAGACAUCCCUGCCCCUCUGGACGCCUUACCGGAAGAAGACAGACUGGAAACUAUUGAAUGUGAGCUCCCUGAACACAGUACAGAAGUUACACUGACUCCAGAAAUGAUCCAAGCGGAAUUCUUUAUGUUGGACCACAAGGACACCAAGAAAGAAAUGAAAGACCAAACACAACUACCAGAGAAAGCAGGAGAAAAAGUGCUUGAGGAGAUGAAGACUCUGCAGAGCAAAGCUCUCAACACAUACCUGAUCAUAGAAUAAAAAUCACCCAGAGGAUGAGCACUACUGGUGUAGACACUGGCUCCCCAAGUCGCUGUGCCAGCGGUGGACACUGGCAAAGAGGGACUGGACCUGGAGGAGACACAGAGAUGAUCAGAGCUUACAGACUGGUUUGGGAACCACUGGAAAACUUAAAGGCUGCACUCUCACAGCCCCUGGCAGGAGGUUAUUGUGAAGAGGCGGGAAUCUUGAUGGAUGUGUUUUGGUCAAAACAGGCCCUUUGAUUGUGUUUGUUAACAUUAUUCCAGUCAUAUAGCACAGAUUAGUAAGACUAAUGAUGUUGUAAUAACCCAUAAUUAUCCAAAUAUAUUUGAGUGUAUUCACUCCACUCAUUUGUCCAUGCAUAAGUAUAUAUACAUAUGAGGUAUGAUAAAAAUAUAUGUAAAUGUUUAAAGUAAAAAUUUUUAUUACAGUAACAAACACAUUGCCAUUAAUCCCCCUCAAAAUAUUCCCCCUGGCUUUGAACACAUUUAUCUCAUCAUUCUUGCCACUUUCUGAAGCAGUUCUUGGAGUCCUCCUUCAUGACUAUCUUUACUAGGUGAUCAAAAAUAUGGUAAAUACCACAGCUGUGUGCCUUCCAGCAGAAAGGCAGGCUUGUAAAAACACAUAGUGUAUUCUCUGGCUCAUCCCUGAAGGCAAAAUGACCAUGAAAGGUAAACAUUUUGACUCUAUUCAAGCCAUUGAGGCAGCCACAGCAGCACAACUGAAGACACUCAUGAAAGAAGACUUUCAGAACUACUUCAGAAAAGGGCAAGAUUGAUGGGUGUGUUUGAAGCAAAGGGGAGUACAUAUUUUGAGGAGGGUUAAUGGCAAUGUGUCUUUCCCUGUAGCAAAUUUUUCACCAUAUUUUUUGACAGAAACUUAUAAAGCUAUCUCAGCUUCUGUAUCUAUAAACAAGAGCAAGAUUUCUUUUAUUUUUCUUCCUGCCUUCAAGGGCUAUCCUGAGGCAGUGGCCCCUUGCAAAGGUUGUACUGACAGUGUUGGGAAUCUGCCACCUGCUGGAUG